GGUCUAUUGGUAUAUGGGUAUUACACAUGCCUGUCACGUAUGUAAAACGGGUUCGAGUCCCGUAUAGACCGCCA
rnacentral:tRNA from 1 species